AUUGAACGCUGGCGGCAUGCCUUACACAUGCAAGUCGAACGGUAACGCGGGGCAACCUGGCGACGAGUGGCGAACGGGUGAGUAAUGUAUCGGAACGUGCCCAGUAGUGGGGGAUAGCCCGGCGAAAGCCGGAUUAAUACCGCAUACGACCUGAGGGUGAAAGCGGGGGAUCGCAGGACCUCGCGCUAUUGGAGCGGCCGAUAUCAGAUUAGCUAGUUGGUGGGGUAAAGGCCUACCAAGGCGACGAUCUGUAGCUGGUCUGAGAGGACGACCAGCCACACGGGGACUGAGACACGGCCCAGACUCCUACGGGAGGCAGCAGUGGGGAAUUUUGGACAAUGGGCGAAAGCCUGAUCCAGCCAUGCCGCGUGCGGGAAGAAGGCCUUCGGGUUGUAAACCGCUUUUGUCAGGGAAGAAAAGGCUCGAACUAAUACUUUGGGCUCAUGACGGUACCUGAAGAAUAAGCACCGGCUAACUACGUGCCAGCAGCCGCCGUAACAC
rnacentral:rRNA from 1 species